AGAUGGCUUUCUCAGAGGCUCUAUAUGGUUCAGUAACUGAGCAAUACAAUGUGCUGAGAUCUGCCAUACAUCAAAACCAAGGACUUGAUGCAUCAAACGCUGCAGUCUCGUUGUCACAGCCCUGGAAGUAAUAAACUUUUGUAGCUUUUCCAUGUAAUGCUCCUUUAUUCUCAGGCUAUGUGAACUAUUUUCAAGCCUUCCAUACAAUUGACAUUGUGGUUAGUCCAGUGACCUUAGUCUAUUAUGCAUUGCAAGGGUAAGAGAGAAAGUUCCAGUUUCCAAUAUGAAUUUGGCUGCCUUCUGUUGGAUGUCUCUAUGCUUGCAAUUUUCUGCAGAAGAAAUUACUUGUGGUAGUGGAUAUAUAAAAUGGAGAUCAAUUAGAUUUUUGGGAUAAGCGGCUCACUGUACAGAAUUUUUGGGAGAAGCCUGCCCCCCCCNCCCCCUCCAUUGCCUUGUAUCUCUAACUUCUCUUGGUAUAUAUGUGUUGUAUUCUUUUAAUCAGUUCCUUAGCUUGUACUUAAACAUUUUAUUUUUUCAUAUAAAGAAACUCAACACAGAGCCGUUGUAAUU